rnacentral:lncRNA from 13 species
UCCUCAAGGCUUUUGGAUAAAGUUCAUUUUAUUCUCAGCUGUGGAAAAGGUAUGCCAUCUCUUGGAUUAUCAUGUUGGAUCCAAUUCAGAGGAAUAUGAAUUGAAAACAGUACUUACAGAAGGUAAAUCCCUGGUUAAACAAUUUCACUGACUGGAUAACUCAUGGUCUGCUGUCCUGGGUUUAAAUAAAGAAUGCUUUCUGAAAGGGAAUUUCUAAAACUUGGAAAGAGCAAGCAGCCCAUCCUUUUCAGCGGAAUCCAUCAUCUUCCAGAAGUCUAUCAUACAUAUUGUUCUUCAAAAUCGUUAUUGAUUUUGAUAUACUUUGACCACUGCAUUUUCUAAUUAAGUAAGAAAUGUUAUCAGUGUUUCUUCUGAAUUUUCAAAAAGGUUUAAUAAAAUCUUCUACUACUACUGAUAAUUUAUUUCU